rnacentral:ncRNA from 1 species
ACGCAAUGUGAUUUCUGCCCAGUGCUCUGAAUGUCAAAGUGAAGUAAUUCAACCAAGCGCGGGUAAACGGCGGGAGUAACUAUGACUCAAGGGCCUUGCGCCGGCGAUGGUUCAUUCAAAUUUCUUCCCUAUCAACUUUCGAUGUUUGGGUAGUGGCCAAACAUGGUUGCAACGGGUAACGGAGGGUUAGGGCUCGACCCCGGAGAAGGAGCCUGAGAAACGGCUCUCUGGUGGAGGCUCGCAGCG